UACGAAGGGUGCAAGCGUUACUCGGAAUUACUGGGCGCAAAGCGUGCGUAGGUGGUUUGUUAAGUCUGUUGUGAAAGCCCCGGGCUCAACCUGGGAAUUGCAUUGGAUACUGGCAGGCUAGAGUGCGGUAGAGGAUGGCGGAAUUCCCGGUGUAGCAGUGAAAUGCGUAGAGAUCGGGAGGAACAUCUGUGGCGAAGGCGGCCAUCUGGACCAGCACUGACACUGAGGCACGAAAGCGUGGGGAGCAAACAGG
rnacentral:rRNA from 1 species